rnacentral:lncRNA from 1 species
AGUAGGGACGAAGGCCGCCACGCUGGUUUAGCCGAAGUUGGGGAGCCGCGUUUCUGUCCCGAUGAUUAAGGCUCCCUUCUGACCCCCACUGCAGGAGUUGUAGGUCUGAACUCAAGAAGACGGGUGGGCUAAGAAAGCGAAUGGAACCCCUGCGUCCUUUCCCCAGCCGAAAGAAACAGGGACAGGGAUUCAUCCAGCUCGUUGUAGUCUGAAGGAGCCAGGAACCUACCUGAAUGAUCUGCGCUGUGCCCUCUUAAGACUCAGGCGGACCAAAGAGAGUGCCCGAGGCCAGGAGGAAAAAGGCUUUAGCACCUCCCCUGACUUCUUCCUGGCCCUGAGCCACUGGAUCUCCAGCCCUAAUUUCUCCGCUCAGACUCAAACUUCCACAGAACCCCUCCACCUCUUCCCGCGGCUCUUUCUCCAGAAUGGUAUCUGGCUCCUGCUCCGUAAGACAAAUAACGCGGGCGGUGA